rnacentral:rRNA from 1 species
ACCCGCUGAACUUAAGCAUAUCAAUAAGCGGAGGAAAAGAAACCAACAGGGAUUGCCUCAGUAACGGCGAGUGAAGCGGCAAAAGCUCAAAUUUGAAAUCUGGUCCUAGACCCGAGUUGUAAUUUGUAGAGGAAUGUUCGGCGACGUCUAGGUCUGAGUCUUCUGGAAGGAAGCGCCUUUGAGGGUGAGAGCCCCGUAGGACUGAUGACUGAACCAUGUGUACAUCCUUCGACGAGUCGAGUUGUUUGGGAAUGCAGCUCAAAACGGGUGGUAAAUUCCAUCUAAAGCUAAAUAUUGGCCAGAGACCGAUAGCGCACAAGUAGAGUGAUCGAAAGAUGAAAAGCACUUUGGAAAGAGAGUGAAACAGUACGUGAAAUUGUUGAAAGGGAAGCGCUUGCGACCAGACUUGGGUUUAACGUUCAGCGGUUCGCGUGGACCGUGUACUUCGUUAUUUACUAGCCAGCAUCAGUUUUCGGGGUUGGAUAAAAGCUUGAGGAACGUAGCUUAGCUUCGGUUGAGUGUUAUAGCCUCUUGCACAAUACAGCCACUGGAGACUGAGGAACGCCUUUUUGUAGGAUGCUGGCGUAAUGGUUGCAAGCGGCCCGUCUUGAAACACGG